CCUGAUUCCUCACUAGAAGCUGUGCUGGUGCCUCUCGUUUCUCAGUGUCACUCCUGUUUAGGCUUGUAGCUGUCAGGGAACCUCACAGGUGGAAAGUUACAGACAUUCCGGGGCCUGCCAUAAAGCACACCCACUCUCCCCACAGGGAGAUGAGGAAUUUCCCGGCUACAGGGUCCGGAUCAGUGUGUACGGAACAGGAUAGGUGGGUUGAGAAAAAUUUGCUUUCAUAUGUCUCUGGAAAUCUGGAAAGGGAUUGUCAGUCUGCAUUGUAUCUCCCUGUAAAUUCUUACACGUGCCUAUAUCUCAGAAUGUCACCAUAUCUGCAGACAGGGUUCUUGAAGACACAACUAAAUGAAAAUGGAUGAAAUCAGAAUGGAGCCUAAUCCGAGGUGACUGCUGUCUUUGUGAGAACAGGGAAGGAACACACAGGAAGGCUCCAGGGGUGCGUGUGAGGACAGAGCAAGGAGGUGGCCUGUCUGCCAGCCAAGGAAAAGAAACCAGCCCUGCUGACAACCGGCCCUCAGACUGCCAGCCCAGUGGGAAAACUCAUUCUGUUAUCUAAGCCACUCUGUCUGCAACGAUUGGUUAUGGCGGCCCUAAAAAAUGAGUACAUUUUCCGUCUUUGUACUGUAAAGUUGUUGUUGUUUAAUAGAUUGUCUCUUUUCUUGGGUUUAAGGAAUAUCUUCAAAAAGAGCUUGUUUUAUUGAUGAACUUGGUGUAUUAGGAACCAUCUCGGGAGGCUCUUGGCAAACACAGAAGGGGAUGAACGAGAGCACAUGCCUACCCGCUGUACAGAUCUCGCAACUGCAGAGAUAAUUGGAGAAGAUAGAUCUAUCUGCAAAGACACAAAAGGCAGAUCUCUGGAAUGGACAAGGAAGGUAUCUUCGAUCGAAGCUGUGGGAGGAGCUUUGGACUUGGCUAAGAGCCAGAGCCCUGUAGAGGGAGCGCCAGAGAGCCACUGCGAAGACCCCAGGGGACCAGGAUGCAGCUAAGUCACCUGGAUGCGGAGAAGCUUCUGGGUCCCCACUCUACCUCGCAUCUCUUCUAGAAGGUGCCAGCUGGUGGCUAUGCUUGCACUGGAGCCUUUGCAUAGCCUACGUGGCUGUCAGUGAGGCCACAGGGCCAUUGCAGGCAAUAGUCCAGCUGCACCCCAAGAGAUAGCCUAGAACCAAAGCAUUUCCCACAGCAUUCCUAGAAACUACUUAUGCGUGUCACUCAGAAAACCCAAAUCCUAUCAUUUCUUAGAUGUCAGCUGUGCAGAUACGUCUCUCAACGUUAGAUUGUCUGUUGGAAAAUAUAACUGGAUACCAGAAGUGUCAGAAACCUGGUUCAUACCACUCUUCACAAGGGGAGGCCUGCAAAAACACAGGCAGGAAGGAAUCACCCACUGCUGCAGCCAUGGGCCUGUCAGGCUCGCUCUUAAUUCCUGCCCAGGGCUUGCUCUCUAAAGCCGUGCUGGCUCUGCCUCCAUUUCCCACUUCAUCCAGAGCAAACAUGGCUUCCCGUGCUUGUCCUGGUACCACGAUGCCAUAGCGUCCCCUCAGCCCACUUCCAGAUAAGGGGGCCAUCUGACAAAGAAAGGUCAGGCCGGCUUUGCAUCUAGACUAGCAAGGCUCUUGUUUGUAUGUUGAGGGCACGAAUCUGUAAGUCCUGAGUUUAUUUUGUCCCCAUCUGUGUUGAUUUUUAAAUGGCCUCAUAGGCUCACAGGGAGUGAGUGGCACUAUUACAAGGUGUGGCCUUGUUGCAGGAAGUGGUCACUGGAAUGAGGGUUAGGGAGGGGGCGCUUUGAGGUUUCAGGAGCUCAAGCCAGGCCUGGGAUCACUCUUUCUUUCUCCUUCCUGCCAAUCCAGAUGUAGAAGUCUCGGCUACUUCCCAGUACUGUGUCUGCCUGCACGCUGCCAUGUUUCCUGCUAUGAUGACAGUGGACUAAACCAACUCCAA
rnacentral:lncRNA from 1 species